GAGAGAAAAAUAUAGCAAGUAAAUGCGACCAUUUCAAAGCGAGAGAAGGUCGCUUGGCCGAGAGAGAAAGGGUUGGUUGGAUUUUGAUAGAAACAGAGUGAGAUUAGAUUGUUGAAUUGUCUUCUCUCUCAUCAUCAUACAUCACACGGUUCACCGAUGGUGAAGGCGAUGCCAGGUGCUGAUGAUGAUAGCAGCAGUAUCGCCAUGACCACUCUAACCACCACCAACAACAUUCUUUUAUCCAAACAGGCCAUCUUUAUUAUUAUUGUUAUGCUACUUUUGAUCAUUUUUUUAAUCUUAAUCGCCUGCAAGUAUAAGCCAUGGCGUUUCUUUUACUCUCAUCCUGUCUCCUCCAACUCUGUCUUUCGCAAUAAGAACACAAUCAAGGGUGAAGAUAUAGA
rnacentral:misc_RNA from 1 species